UUCGAGCGUCAUUAUAACCAUUCAAGCCUUGGCUUGGUAUUGGGGUUUCGCGGUUCUGCGGCCCUUAAAAUCAGUGGCGGUGCCGUCUGGCUCUAAGCGUAGUAAUUCUCUCGCUAUAGGGUCCCGGCGGUGGCUUGCCAAAACCCUUCUAUUUUCUUACGGUUGACCUCGGAUCAGGUAGGGAUACCCGCUGAACUUAA
rnacentral:misc_RNA from 1 species